UACGUAGGGGGCAAGCGUUGUCCGGAUUUAUUGGGCGUAAAGAGCGUGUAGGCGGCCAAGCAGGUCCGCUGUGAAAACUCGAGGCUCAACCUCGAGAGGUCGGUGGAAACCGUUUGGCUAGAGUCCGGAAGAGGAGAGUGGAAUUCCCGGUGUAGCGGUGAAAUGCGCAGAUAUCGGGAAGAACACCUAUGGCGAAGGCAGCUCUCUGGGACGGUACUGACGCUGAGACGCGAAAGCGUGGGGAGCGAACAGG
rnacentral:rRNA from 1 species